rnacentral:tRNA from 1 species
GCCUUAGUAGUAUAAAAAUUACAUUGGUCUUGUAAACCAAAAACGGAGUAUCACCCUCCCUAAGACA